rnacentral:rRNA from 1 species
AUUGAACGCUGGCGGCAUGCCUUACACAUGCAAGUCGAACGGCAGCACGGGAGCAAUCCUGGUGGCGAGUGGCGAACGGGUGAGUAAAGUAUCGGAACGUGCCCAGUCGUGGGGGAUAACGUAGCGAAAGUUACGCUAAUACCGCAUACGAUCUAUGGAUGAAGGCGGGGGAUCGCAAGACCUCGCGCGAUUGGAGCGGCAGAUAGAAGAUUAGGUAGUUGGUGGGGUAAAGGCUCUCCAAGCCGACGAUCUGUAGCUGGUCGGAGAGGACGACCAGCCAAACUGGGACUGAGACACGGCCCAGACUCCUACGGGAGGCAGCAGUGGGGAAUUUUGGACAAUGGGCGCAAGCCUGAUCCAGCCAUGCCGCGUGCAGGAUGAAGGCCUUCGGGUUGUAAACUGCUUUUGUACGGAACGAAAAGGUUUGACUUAAUACGUUGGACUCAUGACGGUACCGUAAGAAUAAGCACCGGCUAACUACGUGCCAGCAGCCGCCGUAA